rnacentral:rRNA from 1 species
GAUGAACGCUAGCUACAGGCUUAACACAUGCAAGUCGAGGGGCAGCGUGGUCUUAGCUUGCUAAGGCCGAUGGCGACCGGCGCACGGGUGAGUAACACGUAUCCAACCUGCCGUCUACUCUUGGACAGCCUUCUGAAAGGAAGAUUAAUACAAGAUGGCAUCAUGAGUCCACAUGUUCACAUGAUUAAAGGUAUUCCGGUAGACGAUGGGGAUGCGUUCCAUUAGAUAGUAGGCGGGGUAACGGCCCACCUAGUCUUCGAUGGAUAGGGGUUCUGAGAGGAAGGUCCCCCACAUUGGAACUGAGACACGGUCCAAACUCCUACGGGAGGCAGCAGUGAGGAAUAUUGGUCAAUGGGCGAGAGCCUGAACCAGCCAAGUAGCGUGAAGGAUGACUGCCCUAUGGGUUGUAAACUUCUUUUAUAAAAGGAAUAAAGUCGGGUAUGGAUACCCGUUUGCAUGUACUUUAUGAAAUAAGGAUCGGCUAACUCCGUGCCAGCAGCCGCGGUAAUACGGAGGAUCCGAGCGUUAUCCGGAUUUAUUGGGUUUAAAGGGAGCGUAGAUGGAUGUUUAAGUCAGUUGUGAAAGUUUGCGGCUCAACCGUAAAAUUGCAGUUGAUACUGGAUACCUUGAGUGCAGUUGAGGCAGGCGGAAUUCGUGGUGUAGCGGUGAAAUGCUUAGAUAUCACGAAGAACUCCGAUUGCGAAGGCAGCCUGCUAAGCUGCAACUGACAUUGAGGCUCGAAAGUGUGGGUAUCAAACAGGAUUAGAUACCCUGGUAGUCCACACGGUAAACGAUGAAUACUCGCUGUUUGCGAUAUACAGCAAGCGGCCAAGCGAAAGCGUUAAGUAUUCCACCUGGGGAGUACGCCGGCAACGGUGAAACUCAAAGGAAUUGACGGGGGCCCGCACAAGCGGAGGGACAUGUGGUUUAAUUCGAUGAUACGCGAGGAACCUUACCCGGGCUUAAAUUGCAGAUGAAUUACGGUGAAAGCCGUAAGCCGCAAGGCAUCUGUGAAGGUGCUGCAUGGUUGUCGUCAGCUCGUGCCGUGAGGUGUCGGCUUAAGUGCCAUAACGAGCGCAACCCUUGUUGUCAGUUACUAACAGGUUCCGCUGAGGACUCUGACAAGACUGCCAUCGUAAGAUGUGAGGAAGGUGGGGAUGACGUCAAAUCAGCACGGCCCUUACGUCCGGGGCUACACACGUGUUACAAUGGGGGGUACAGAGGGCCGCUACCACGCGAGUGGAUGCCAAUCCCAAAAACCUCUCUCAGUUCGGACUGGAGUCUGCAACCCGACUCCACGAAGCUGGAUUCGCUAGUAAUCGCGCAUCAGCCACGGCGCGGUGAAUACGUUCCCGGGCCU